rnacentral:tRNA from 1 species
GCUCGAAUGGCGAAACAGGUAGACGCGUCAGACUUAAAAUCUGGUGAACAGUAAUGUUCGUGCGGGUUCAACUCCCGCUUCGAGUA